rnacentral:rRNA from 1 species
AGUCGAACGGCAGUCGCGCAGCAAUGCUUGGCGAGAGUGGCGCACGGGUGCGUUAACGCGUAUGCAACCUACCUUUAACAGGGGCGAUAGCCCGGAGAAAUUCGGAUUAAUACCCCGUAGUAAUUAUUAGUGGCAUCACUGAUAGUUUAAAGCUAAUGCGGUUAGAGAUGGGCAUGCGUUCCAUUAGCUAGUUGGUGCGGUAACGGCCGUACCAAGGCUACGAUGGAUAGGGGACCUGAGAGGGCGAUCCCCCACACUGGUACUGAGACACGGACCAGAUCUCCUACGGGAGGCAGCAGUAAGGAAUAUUGGGCAAUGGCCGCAAGGCUGACCCAGGCCAUGCCGCGUGCAGGAAGACGGCCUUAUGGGUCUGUAAACUGCUUUUGUCAGGGCAGUAAAUCCUUAUACGUGUAAUAAGGUUGAAAGUACCGUGAAGAAUAAGCCAUCGGCUAACUCCGUGCCAGCAGCCGCGGUAAUACGGAGGAUUAGCGAGCGUUAUCCGGAUUACAUUGGGUUUAAAGGCGUGCGCAGGCGGCGCUAAUAAGUCAGGGGUGAAAUUCCACGGCUCACUGUGGGGCUGCCUUUCGAUACUGUUAGUCUUGAGUUUAGUUGAGGUGGGCGGAAUGUAGCAUGUAGCGGUGAAAUGCAUAGAUAUGCUACAGAACACCGAAUAGCGAAGGCAGCUCACCAAGUUAUAAGCUGACGCUCAUGCACGAAAGCGUGGGAGAUCAAACAGGAUUAGAUACCCUGGUAGUCCGACGCUGUAAACGAUGAUCACUCGUUAGUUGGCGAUACACAGUCAGCGGCUAAGCGAAAGUGAUAAGUGAUCCACCUGGGGAGUACGAUCGCAAUGGUUGAAACUCAAAGGCAAUUGACGGGCUCCCGCACAAGCGGUGGAGCAUGUGGUUUAAAUUCGAUGAUACGCGAGGAACCUUACCUGGGCUUGAACGCUUAAUGUUAUUGGCAAGAAAUCUGAAGUCCCUUCGGCUACGUUGAGCGAGGUGCUGCAUGGUUCUUCGUCAACUCGUGCCGUGAGGUGUCGGGUUAAGUCCCAUAACGAGCGCAACACCUUAUCAUCUAGUUGCCAUCAGGUAAAGCUGGGAGACUCUAGUGAAACUGCCUACGCAAGUAGAGAGGCAAGGUGGGCGAUGACGUCAAAUCAGCACGGCCCUUACGUCCAGGGCCUACACACGUGCUACAAUGGCCGGUAAUCAGAGGGCAGCCACCUGGUGACAGGGAGCGAAUCUCGAAAGCCGGUCUUAAGUUCGGAUCGAAGUCUUGCAACCGCGACUUCGUGAAGCUGGAAUCGCUAGUAAUCGCGCAUCAGCCAUGGUCGCGGUGAAUACGUUCCACGGGACCUUGUACACACCGCCCGCUCAAGCCUAUAU